CGGCGGGUCCCCUCCCCCAUCCCUUGCAAACUCUGCUUGGGGCGCGGGCGAUGAAACCUGGGGGAGGGAGACUUCGGACUUGGGAAAAGCCACGUCUCCGUUCUCUACAAUUCUCCCCCACCCCCUCCUCCGAUGCCUCAUGUCUGGAGCGGGGGCGCGAGGAGCGCUCCGCCAGGGUCGGCCUCAUGCGUCCCUCGGGUGCCUAGGCUUCCGCCUCCCGCAGGUACCAAUGGCCCCUGCCUGUAGCGUCACUUGUUGCCUCAGGCCCCCUCACUGCACACCCGCCCGGCUCCGUGGAGAGUGCGGUUCUGCGGAAGACAGGCCCUGAGGGCGCAGUGCCCGCAUCCUCCCUCAGUCCUCCUCUUUACCCCUCAAGGAGGACCCGCUGGAGGGAGGGAGCCCGGGCCGGCUUCCUGGCCUUGCGUCGCCGGGAGAAAGGACCGGCAGGGCCGAGGCUUCAGGAUCCCGCCAGGGACUGGGCGGGGCGCUCUUGGUUCGGGGAGCGGAGUGGGGACCCGCACACUCUGCGGUCCAGAGGCUGGAGGGGAACGACUGUGACCUGGUGGGGACCCCUGGCUAGAACAAGUUUCCAGGGUGAGGGGUGGCGGUACAAGAAGAGACAGAGGGAAGGUGAAGAAGCAAAUGCAUAAAGAGGGUAAAAAAUUCUCCAGGAGGGACGGGGAUGAGGAUGCGGAAGGAGGGGACAGUGACAGGCCCGCGAAGGAGAAGGGCAAGCGGGACGCGGAGGGCAAGCAGGCCCAGAGGAGUUAACGGAAAGGAGUUAACGAAAAGAAGGAAGAGAAAGCCUCGGACGUGCGCGAACGGGGAAGGGACGGAGAGCCAGGAGAGAGGGAGACCGAACCCCGCCCUCAGGCUCCGGGCCUCCAGCCCUGGGUCCGGGAGCGCGCCGAGCUUCCGGGGGAUCCGCGCGGCGCGGGGGCGGCGGGCGGGGCGAGGCUCUCCGGGUCCCACCUCCAGCCUCUCCGCCCGGCCGGCGUUCUUCUCGGCGACUCCGGGAUGCCGGCGGCGCCCGAUGCUGCCUCCCUCCGGCGUCCUGCGCGGAGCGGACGCAUCCUUCGUCCUCCGAGUGGCCAUGGCCUUUAAACUUCCCAGUCCUCGGCUGGGAGAGGGGUGCGCCAAGUUUUCAGCUGUGAGGUUCCCUUGCUCCUCUACCCCCGCCUCCCCUAAAGGCCUCCAAGGUGUCAAGCCUCUGGACACUGGAUGCGGCAACCCUCCCCCCUCCCCCCUCCAUACACAUGCCCCGGGCGAGGGAGUCGCGAGGCCACCUCCCCAGGCCAUCCCUUUUGUGAAUGACAGCAUCAGCGGAUUUUAAAAAAGAGGAUUGGGGAGAAGAAAAGAGAUGGAAGAAGAGGAGAGGAGGAAAAAAGGAAAUUGAAGCAGAGAAGUAACAUAUAAUAAUCCUAGGCUUAAGCUAGAUUUAUUUUGGGAAAAGAUGAUUCUCUGUUCCUGAAAUGUUCUAAUUUCUUGCGUAUCUAACUAUCCACUGCUGAUUGUAAGGAUUGCAAUCGUCAAUGACAGGUUUGCUUGCUUGGUUCUUUCUCUGAUGAAUCCAUUUAAUUCUGUGGCCACUGUGACUUUCAUAGAAGAGCUGCCUCACAGUCGCAUGAGAAUACAUCAAUUUUUGUUUGGCUCAUACACAUCUUCUCAAAAUGACUUCAGUAGAGUAAGUAGAAGAACUUUAAUAGGAUUGGAAGAUCAAAGAUGGUGAGAAGAUUUAAGGAUAUCGUCAGUACAUCAAGAAUAAUAAAAUUAAACAUGUCUGAAAACAGAUGAUUGUAAGCAAUUUUGAUAGAGAUAGUCUCUUCCCCUCAAGUAACUUAAAAACCCUAAUUGGAUGAGCUGAUUUGGACAGUCAUCCCAGCCCCAGUGAAAUAAAUGUAUGGAAAGUAUAUAAAAAAUCCUUGUGAAACUUAGCACAUUAAAUUUUGUUCCUACUCACAAAUCCGCUGCUUAGAUGACUCUCCAGAGAAGAUGUCUUCUUUUUUUAUUUUAUUUUAUUUUAUUUUAUUUUUUCCAACUUUAUUGAGAUAUGAUUGUAUGACAUUGUAUAAAUUUAAGGUGUACAACAUGUUGAUUUGAUCCACUUAUAUAUUGCAAUAUGAUUACCAACAUAGGUUAGCUAGCACUUUCAUCAA
ensembl:lncRNA